rnacentral:lncRNA from 1 species
CUGGAGUGGGGCAACUAUCACAGAACCACAAGCCCAGAGUCAGAGGGGUUGCUGAAAGGGUUCUGAUAGCCAGAAAACACAUCAGGAGAAGUCAGACCCUCCGGACAACAGAAGCAAACCUCAAGGCAGUGGUCAGGUCACCAGCUGAGCCUUCCAUCCCAGCCAGCUCACUUGGAAGCGGCUGCAGGGGGAUUGGCAGAGAACCUGGUGGGAUUUGCCUCAGUUGCCUGAAUGCCGGUUGCUGGGCAGAAAGAAACAGAGUGCAGAUUGCCCUCUGCUGCGCCUGCUUACCUUGGCAUGUGUCUUGCACCAGAAGGCUGCCGUUUAUACUGGCUGUCUGUCCUGGACCUGGUUAUUUCUCCGGUGGGAGAGCUGCCCUCCUUUGUGACUUUAUAGAUAUGAAGCAGAAAUCCCAGGAAAGAAAUCCAACCACACAGAGAUCGCCAAGCUACGCCAAAGCCCAAAUUAUCCACACAGAAGCUCCAUGAAGAAGACAGUGAGGCCCAGAGAAUUGGCUAAAGGCACGAAAUAUUCAAGUAAAGAAGGUUUUUGUUUUGCUUUGUUUUGUUUUGAGUGUUCAAACCCCAAAUUACGCUCUAUAACCAGAACCACCCAGCUGCACUCAGCUCAGACUGUAGAAUUAUGGGAAAUGAUAAAAUGGAGGUAAGCCACUUGGUUUUGAGGGUGGCUAAUUCUGUAGCAAUGGCUGAAUGCCUCUGCUGCUGCCCUCUGCUUUAUGCCCUACAUUGCAGACAGCGUGUGGCCCCUGGCUCGUUGGUGCUGCCUCCGCUCCACUCAUCUCCAGUUAUAAUCUCCUUUCUGCCUUUCUUUUUCUGUAGCACAACUUCAUCUCCACUUCUGUCUCAUCUCUUUUUGCUCCCAUAGCUUCCCAUGGCACUCUCAAUGACGUUGUGAACGUUCCUUCAUGCAGCUGUCUCCCAAACUCCAAACCAGGAUGUGCUCUCCCAAGUAGAUACCACAUCUUACUCCACAUCAGGUCUCACUUCACACGGAAGUAUGAGCGAACCCCUUAACUUCCAGCCCAGCUUCUCUGAAUCAGUUAGGCAUUGUGUUCAGUCAUCUACCAGAAUCCCAGCCUCACUGGAUUAAUCAGACACUGGCUUGUUUCUGGUUUCCUGCCCCGUUAGCUUUCAAGUGUGUCUUUCUUCUUUGUGGUUAGCUCAAGACUACAGCAUGGCUUCUUUGUCGCUAGCCUCACACCCACAUCCCAGACCGGAAGAAACAACAAGUGUCAGCAUCCCUUCAUCUCACCAACCAGAGCUAUGCCACAAGGACACCCACAGCUAAGGACAGCAAACACCUUGGAGAAUCUCAACUUUGACCCGGAAGUACUCACUACCUGGAACUGUCUGCCUGAGGGUACCAGGGAGAAAACAUGGGUUGUGACUAGUGUUCUCCUCAUUCUCCACCUAUAAAAAGGGGUUAGAACUUACCUUGAUGACUUGUUGAAUUUCAGAGAGACUAUGGGCAAACAUCAUAGUACCCAAGGCAUAACGGCACUCAGGAAAAGCCGUUAUAUCUUGAAUUUCCAGAAGUGGCCGUUAGCAGGGAGUUUUCCUGAAGGUGCUAAAAAUGUAUAAUAGAGACAUGGUUUGGACUCUUCAGUUCUUUUACAUUGAAUUCACUUCUUGGUUAAUAAAUCUUUUCUUGAUAGUCUAUUCAACCACUAAUAAAUCCAGCUGGAUUGUCAUUAUGACUCUUCACUUACAUGUGACACAUGAAAAAACAAGGCUUGGAAAGACACAAAGGGUGAGUUGGCAGGGUGCUACAGCCCUGUGGCUACAGAGCUGCAUAUUUCUUCUCUGAUUCAUGGAAAAAUACGUAGCACAUAGAAGUCAGCUACAGAUUUAAAAGAUCUCCUACCAGGGAGUUGAAGAAUCAAGUCUCAAGGUCUUAGCUGCUGAGGGCUAAAAAGCUCACUUAGAAGGUGACUAGUGGAAAGACUAAGGGGACCUGCUUUGUAUCUGCAGCUGCUCUCACCACAGCUUCUUUUUAAAGCAAAU